rnacentral:rRNA from 1 species
GACGAACGCUGGCGGCGUGCCUAACACAUGCAAGUCGAGCGGGAGACUUCGGUCUUCAGCGGCGGACGGGUGAGUAACACGUGGGCAACCUGCCUUGUAGAGGGGGAUAGCCCUCCGAAAGGAGGAUUAAUACCGCAUAACAUUCUGCUGACGCAUGUCCGUAGAAUCAAAGGAGCAAUCCGCUACAAGAUGGGUCCGCGGCGCAUUAGCUAGUUGGUGAGGUAACGGCCCACCAAGGCGACGAUGCGUAGCCGACCUGAGAGGGUGAUCGGCCACAUUGGAACUGAGACACGGUCCAGACUCCUACGGGAGGCAGCAGUGGGGAAUAUUGCACAAUGGGCGAAAGCCUGAUGCAGCAACGCCGCGUGAGUGAUGAAGGCCUUCGGGUUGUAAAGCUCUGUCUUCUGGGACGAUAAUGACGGUACCAGAGGAGGAAGCCACGGCUAACUACGUGCCAGCAGCCGCGGUAAUACGUAGGUGGCAAGCGUUGUCCGGAUUUACUGGGCGUAAAGGAUGCGUAGGCGGAUAUGUAAGUCAGAUGUGAAAUUCCCGGGCUUAACUUGGGAACUGCAUUUGAAACUGCAUGUCUAGAGUGCAGGAGAGGAAAGUGGAAUUCCUAGUGUAGCGGUGAAAUGCGUAGAGAUUAGGAAGAACACCAGUGGCGAAGGCGACUUUCUGGACUGUAACUGACGCUGAGGCAUGAAAGCGUGGGGAGCAAACAGGAUUAGAUACCCUGGUAGUCCACGCUGUAAACGAUGGGUACUAGGUGUGGGAGGUAUCGACUCCUUCCGUGCCGCAGUUAACACAAUA